ensembl:lncRNA
GCUAUAUACAUAGUUCUGUGUUAAUGGUUUUCAGUUUUGUUUUGAAAAGGUCUAGUGAGAAUUGUACACUUAGGCAACGCAAGCUAAUUGAAACUUUUCUUUUGACCGAAACCAAUGUCUGUAGCAUUGGUAGGUUGGUGCAUUCAGACUCAUUUGUAGUAAAAUAGGUCUCUUAGUUGAAAAGACUGGAGGGCCAAAUGUUUUAUGUAGAUGUAUCUCUCAAGAUGUGAAGUUAGGGGGUGGGGGCUAUGUGAGAUUUACAGAUAAUGGUAGUGAAGUACUGACAUCAGUCUAAUACACCCCAGUAAUUAGCUUUCUAAGAUCUGUGGGGAUCAAAUGCUCUCAAAACCCGAGUUUUAGACUAUCAUUGGGGUUAUUGGCCAAUAAUCGCAGAUUGUUUACAACUUAGUGGUUUUCAAGGUUGGGUAAUGACACCGGAUGCUGAUUUUAUUUUUUUUUAACUAUUUCAGGAUAUUGCUGCAUACCGUGCCAAGGGCAAGAGUGAAGCGGGAAAAAAGGGCCCUGGCAGGCCGACAGGCUCCAAGAAGAAGAAUGAACCGGAGGAUGAGGAGGAAGAAGGUGAAGAUGAGGAGGAGGAGGGAGAUGAGGAAGAAAUGGCUAUCUUGUAAUGAUGUGUGUGGAGUGUGCAUGUGUGCUCAGGCAGUUGUUUUGCUAAGAAUGUGAAUACAAGUGCAGCUCAAUAUUAGCUUCAGUAUAAAAACUGUACAGAUUUUUGUAUAGUUGAUAAGAUUCUUUGUAGAGAAAAUACUUUUUAAAAAAUGCAAGUUGUGGCUUUUUGAGGGGCUACUACAUACAGGCAGAGUUUCAAGCUUCUGAUGUUAAAUGUUUCUACAUAUUUAAUGGUUUCUUUAAUUUCUUGACUCGUAUAUGGUAGCACAGCAAACUCAUANNNNNNNNNNNNNNNNNNNNNNNNNNNNNNNNNNNNNNNNNNNNNNNNNNNNNNNNNNNNNNNNNNNNNNNAAAUUUUGUAAUAAAAUUAUAUAUAUUAUUCCUAUUGUUCUUGUCUUAUAAGCUAAAUUAGCUUUUACUUUCAUGGUCUGGAGCCAUAUCACUUUUUUUGUCUUUCUGCCUAAUAGUUCUUAGACAUGGUUGAUUUAGUAAAAUGUUUUGUUAAAAGUCAAACAUGCCAAUAUUCAUAUUUACAGAGUGUUCUUUAAAAAUCAAUUCUGGAAUUUAAUGAACUUUAAAAAUUUACGCAGUCUUACACACUGAGCAAGUUUUCUUCUUGACAUUUAUGUUCAUUUUGUUAGCUAACUUGUCUCUUGGGUUUUUUCUUUUUAGUUGGCAUUUUAAGAUUUCAAAAAUCAGUGUGGUCUUAAGCCUAGAAUUCUGGGUAACUAACCCAAGAAAGCUUUUGAGAUGAUUAUUAUGAUUUUCCAUGACUAAUGAGAUGAAAUUCCACUAGGAUUUCUAUUUACAGGUGAAAGCAGUUAUUAAGAAAUGCUCGUUUGAGAAAGCAGUUGCUUGUAUUUGAAUUAGGUAGAUAUUUCAAAUCAUUAUCAAGUUACUAGUGAAAGUUGGCUAAGUGUUGGCUGGAAGAGUAUAGAACAAACCUAUUUGUUGAUAGUUUGACAAUUAAACCUGACAAUCUUGGUUACCUAUUCUAGUUUUUACAAUAGAAACCAAAAUUCUUAAUACCCAACCAUGGGAGCCUGGGUUGUCUAUCUUAUGCCAUAUUCAGAGUAAAUAUUUUAAAAUUUAUUUCUUACAUAACAUUGUUAAAUGGGAGGUGUAAGUUAUUAGCAUAAUUCCCAGAGCACAUGUACUCAGGUAAAAUCUUCAAACUUUUUAGUGAUGGCCCUCCAUUAUCAUAUCACAGUUGUUAUUUGGAGGCCUUUGCCGAUUGUAAAAACUAGUUUUAUGUGUUUAAAAACUAUUUCCUGGGGUAAAGUUUUUUAAAGACAUACCUAUAUCUGGAUCCCAAGUCCCCAGCUUUACCAAAUAAUUGCUGUGUGGACUUUGCCUCUGGGUUUAUUUCUCUCCAUUUGUAUAUGGGGUCAAUAUCUACUUUGAAGUGUUCUAAUGAUUAAACAAAAAUGUAUUUACAAGUACUGUAUUUACAACAGUCCUUAAUGCUUAGAAAAAUUACUCGUUUCUAAAAUUGAAAUACAGUGAAAGUCUGUUUCUUAAGGAUUUCUUUAAAAUUAGAUCCAUGAAGUAGACCUGUCAGGUUCCUUGUCACUUUUUGGGAUUUUUGGGGGACUAUCAUUUUGUUUUUUAAAUUAAAUACAUCUUAAAUGUGUAAGCUAAGAAUGACACAUUUUUUUAAAAUGAGCUGCUUCGUAAUCUCAGCAUUUGAGAUGAGUCCUCAUUUGAUAUUUUAUCUUAGGUGUUGAUCAAAAUUUGCAACACCCUUGUUUUUAAGACUAAAUGAUUUCAAGGAGUGGUUAUGUUGGAAAGCAUGAAAAUACGGGUAAGGGUCAUAUUCUAUUCCAGGCCAGCCAGUACUUGGCGGGGGUGUGCUUAUGAAGACCAUACCCCCGAAAACAAGUCAUAUCUUUAUAUAAAUGGGCUAUAUAGUUGGUAGUUUACAAUCUUGAUUUCCAAUUACCGGCUUCUCCCAAGAGGCAACUCCAGGAGUAGAACGACACAUCCUUCAAGAGAGACGGGAAGCACAAUAGUCACAAAGGAAGCUUACUAUAUAUGUUGUCCUGCCCCUUAAUUCUCAUUUUAGGUUCUUGGCUCAACAGAAUUGUCACAUUUCACUUAAAUAGCCAUCUGCAUAGUACUCCACUGAAUAGAUCAUAAUUUAACCAGUUCCCUAAAGAUAGUUAUGUUUGAAUUUUUUUGCUUUAAGAACAUUGCCAUGAAUAUCUUGUAUGUACGAUUUCAGAAAUUUCUAUAAAAAGCAUAUAAAAGUUUGCACAUUAAAAAAUGUGCUAAUUAUAAUAGCUAAAACCUGUACUUGGUAUAUACUGGAACCUGCUCUCCGGCUGUUAACUUGCUGAAACUUGCCAAAAUUGCUCUUCGAAGUUGUACUGAAACACACUCCACAGCAAUGACUGUUUCAGAGUGCCUGUUUCCUCAGCAACGUUAUCAGUCUCAAACGUCUUAAUCUUUGCUAUCCUGAUAUAUAAAAAAUGGUUCCUCCUAUUAUGAAUUUAGUAUAUUUUUAUGUUAAAGAGCCAUUUGUAUUUCCGAUGGCCUUCUGUCUCAUCGGUCUUUUUUUAGUCAUUGGUGGGAAAUAAGAAUAAUGACCCUUUGUGACAUGCAUUGUAAAUAUUGGUAUUUUUCCUUUGUUGUCUUUUGACUUUAUGAUGCUUUUUUCAUGCAAAGAUUUAUUUUUAUGAGGCAAAUUUAUUCUUUAGUGGCCUUGGGAGACCUUUCCCAAAGUUAUCUUUGCUUUCUUAUUAUUUAAUUAAAUCUUUGAUCCGUCUGGAAUUUAUUUUGGUACAAGAACUGAAGUAGGGUCUCAAGUUUCUUUCCAGAUGGUAGCCACUACUUUUGGUCUUCUAAUCUAUAAAAAAAUCUGGGUUAGAAGAUCCUAAGGUGCCCUACAUAUUAAAGCAGUAACUGGCAAAUUUGCUCAAUGCAAGACAGCAAGCAUUUUUGUAUUCUACUUUUCAACAGAAAUCAUUUACUGUAAGCAGUAAACCAUGUUUGUCUUAGCACAAACAGCAUUAUCUUAAAGCUAACUUCAUUACAUGCCACUAAAAAUGUUGACAAAGCAGUACUGACUUUAUUUCUUGGGGAAUAGCAAAAGCUAAAGGACCUGUUUUGCCAAUGCAUAAGAUAGUCCUUUUAAAAAUAAAACAUCUGUAGAAAUAAGCCAUUUGUGUACACAUCAUGCCAGAAAGAGCAGGUCAUCUAUAAACAUUUGUAAGCAUAAAUGCCCAGGGUAAAGGUGACAGCUACUGUUUAGCUCAGUCCUGUUGCUAAAUGGAAUGUGAGUCUAAGAUCCCAAAUCUCCCAAAAUUUUAAGUGGAACCAGAAUUCUAGAUUUUUAAAAUGUGAAGUCUGAAUUGUAAACACUGGCAGUGAAUUCAAAUGUUGAAUUGAAAAAAACAUGUCUAGGUAAGAUUCUGUCAAGGGUCACGGAUUGGUUACUUCUAUAAAUUAGUGUAUGUAAAUGUAAUAUUAAUGGUAUUUACUAAGUUAGGGCUGUUGGUAAAAGUUUAUGUAUAGGCAUCCCAGCUAAGCAUUAUUUUCCCAGUUGUCUAGAAACCCUCGCCCUGUAUGGAAACUCAUCUAACUUCUUAUCCUGUUGUACAGUCUCUGAAGUCUAAACGGAAUGUCACUGGGCUCCUGGGCCUUUGUUCUUCAGGACUUGGCCCAACCCUCUCAGCCUCAUCUUGGGAGUUACCAUGGCUAAUAGAAUACCUGCUCGGGAGCACAAAUAGUAUUUCACAUUAAAAGGAAACAACUUUUAAGCAAAACUGCAAUUCAAUCAUAUUCAUGUGUUAUUCUUCAAUUCUCUAUUUCUGCAGUAAAGUGGAAACAGCUUAUACAGAGAACAAACUAAAAUACAAACCAAAAAANNNNNNNNNNNNNNNNNNNNNNNNNNNNNNNNNNNNNNNNNNNNNNNNNNNNNNNNNNNNNNNNNNNNNNNNNNNNNNNNNNNNNNNNNNNNNNNNNNNAAACUAAAAUACAAACCAAAAAAGUUAUGAAAUUAAGAGUGAGCUGAUUUCAAAAAAGUGAGCUGAUGAGCUUAUACUGAGAAUCAGAUCAGUUUGAAUAGGCUCAGUUUCUCUAAGGGAAUUAUUUUUUUAAUUAAAAAGAUUUUUUUUUUCUAUUUUUUGGCUAUGCCAUGCAGCAUGUGGGAUCUUAGUUCACUGACUAGGCAUCAAACCUGAUCCCCCUGCAGUAGAAGCAUGGAAUCUUAAUCACUGUGAGGUCUCGGGGAUCUUUUUUCUGAUCAG